UACAGAUUCAGGAAAUAUACAUCAGAGAGAAGCAUGAUGUUUGACUUUGACUGUCUAUUUGAAAGUUUGAUUUUGGCUGGGUUUACCAAAGAACCUGACAAAAAAUUGGGGACAUUUCAUGCGACCAGGAUAAGAUGCUGCUUGCAAUCGGCAUUGCUGAUCAUUCACAGACAAGAGCAUCAGGAGUUCAAGCUAAAACAAUCCGUAAUUGCCUCUAAAUACCGCAUGGGGAAGAACUAGACACCAAAAUGUUGUUAUUUUUCGUAAAGCUGUGAAUAUUGACUUGAUUACUCAUUAUACAAUACAAAAUAAAGUUCUUAUUGUUCAGAAAAAAAUUA